rnacentral:rRNA from 1 species
UACGUAGGGUGCAAGCGUUGUCCGGAAUUAUUGGGCGUAAAGAGCUCGUAGGCGGUCUGUCGCGUCGGCUGUGAAAACCCGAGGCUCAACCUCGGGCCUGCAGUCGAUACGGGGCAGACUAGAGUGCUGUAGGGGGAGACUGGAAUUCCUGGUGUAGCGGUGAAAUGCGCAGAUAUCAGGAGGAACACCGGUGGCGAAGGCGGGUCUCUGGGCCGUAACUGACGCUGAGGAGCGAAAGCAUGGGGGAGCGAACAGG